rnacentral:rRNA from 1 species
UACGUAGGGGACUAGCGUUGUUCGGAAUUACUGGGCGUAAAGCGCACGUAGGCGGAUUUGUAAGUCAGGGGUGAAAUCCCGGGGCUCAACCUCGGAACUGCCUUUGAUACUGCAAAUCUCGAGUCCGGAAGAGGUGAGUGGAAUUCCUAGUGUAGAGGUGAAAUUCGUAGAUAUUAGGAAGAACACCAGUGGCGAAGGCGGCUCACUGGUCCGGUACUGACGCUGAGGUGCGAAAGCGUGGGGAGCAAACAGG